UCAUUCUUUUCUCAGAUAUAUUUUCGCUAAGUUGACAGGUGAGCCAGAGCUUCAACCCUCUCUCUACUCUGUGUUUUGGUCACCCUAACUGGGAUGACCACACCACACCUCCAUGUACCCACUGCCACACCUCCAUGUACCUUUAUAUCUUUAGCUUUUCCUUCAUAGGUUUCUUCUAUUCCUCUGUCAUUUCUCCCCAAAUGACAAUAAGCUUUGUGACAGAAAAGAACAUCAUCACCUAUGUGACAUCAAACACUCAGCCUUUUCCUCUGGCUUCUUUGUCAUUAGUGAUUACUCCAUAUUUAUCCCACUGGCCUUGGAUCACUAUGAGGCCAUGACCCUGCCGGUCUCUUUCAUAAGUUUCAUUUCUGUAGAUGGUUCAUAAGUUAUAGAAUUUGCUGAUGCUGUGGUCCAUCAAGGGACAUGGACCAAUUCCUGUUUUGUGAUCACAGUUGCAUGAGCCUUAACUUGUGUAACAUAGGCCCGCUUCAGGCUGCCUGAAUCAGUACCUAUGUCAGAAGCAGGUGGAUUUGUAUUCAUGAGAACCAGCAGUGUACCAUGCUGUGUUAUCAUUUUCAUAUUUUGUUUUCAUUCUUUUCAACAUUUUUCAUUAACCCAGUGGUCCAAAUCUUCAGCCAGAUUCCAUAAAUCUGUUUAUUUCUUUUUUUGGAUUAGGGACAUUCAUGUACCUCAGAUCUCCAGAAGCUAUGGGUUAGUGUAAAUUACAGUGUCCUUCACCAAGAUGGGGCCAGUGAUGAACGGUCUGUUCAACACCUUGAGGAACAAGACUAUCUAACUUGCUGCAAUGAAACCUUUGUCAUUUUCUUCUUGACUU
rnacentral:lncRNA from 1 species